rnacentral:rRNA from 1 species
GACGAACGCUGGCGGCGUGCUUAACACAUGCAAGUAGAACGCAGUUGCGAACGGGUGAGUAACGCGUAGGUAACUGCCCCAUUGCGGGGGAUAACUCUUGGAAACGAUAGCUAAUACCGCAUACUGUGUGAUGGACCUGCGUGGGAUUAGCGAGUUGGUGAGGUAAAGGCCCACCAAGGCGACGCUACAUAGCCGACCUGAGAGGGGGAUCGGCCACACUGGUACUGAGACGCGUCCCAGACGCGCACGGGAGGCAGCAGGAGGGAAUCUUCGGCAAGGUACGGAAGGCUGACCAAGCAACGCCGCGGGAGUGAAGAAGGGUUUCGGAUCGUAAAGCUCUGUUGUUAGAGAAGCGGUACUAAACAGAAAGGGACGGCUAACUACGUGCCAGCAGCCGCGGUAAUAC